rnacentral:misc_RNA from 1 species
GCAAACUUGGUCAUUUAGAGGAAGUAAAAGUCGUAACAAGGUCUCCGUUGGUGAACCAGCGGAGGGAUCAUUACAGAGUUGCAAAACUCCCCAACCCUUUGUGAACAUACCUGUAUUGUUGCUUCGGCAGGCAGCCCCAGGGCGGGGCUAUGGCCUGUAUCAGGCGCCUGCCGAAGUCUUCCAGACUCUAUAUUCAACUGUACCUCUCUGAGAAAAGACAAAAUAAGUCAAAACUUUCAGCAACGGAUCUCUUGGUUCUGGCAUCGAUGAAGAACGCAGC